CGGGCAGUAGCGCAGCCCGGUUAGCGCACUAGUCUGGGGGACUAGGGGUCGUGGGUUCGAAUCCCGCCUGCCCGA
rnacentral:tRNA from 2 species